AUCAUUGAACUAUAAAUAAACUGGAAGGCUAACUCAGGGGGGGAAAUUGAAGCCAGUGCAUUUUAGUUUUUCUGAGUUAUGAGCAGAAAUACUCAACACUGAACGUUGGGCUAUUUAUCAAAUUGAAGCUAUUGAAAAACGCUAUUUGGUGUAGAAAUUUCAAGACUUUAGCUAAAAGGGAAAUAUUAAAAAACUACAAACAUAAUUACCGAUAAUUUGCCG